GGAGUUCAAAUGGCACGCGAGUCAUUGGGUUUUAGUACCCGAAGGCGAAGUGAAAUGCAAACGUAUUGUUAUUUGUGGUUGUUCCAUGAUGAAGCGAUAAGCUACUCAUGCUGUCUGGCAUUUGUAGACUACAAGCGUGAUGUUUGAGACCCGAAAGAUGGUGACCUAUGCCUAGUCAAGAUGAAGCCAGAGGAAACUCUGGUGGAUGUCUGAAGUUAUUCUGACGUGCAAAUCGAUAAUCUGAUCUGGGUAUAGGGGCGAAAGACUAAUCGAACCAUCUAGUAGCUGGUUCCUUCCGAAGUUUCCCUCAGGAUAGCAAGCGUACAUUUUUAGUUUCAUCCCGUAAAGCGAAUGAUUAGAGGCCUUGGGGCGUAUAUAGCCUCAACCUAUUCUCAAACUUUUAAUGGGUGUGAGUGUUUUUUCUCAAUUGAAAAACGCUGCUAAAUAAGUAUGCUUAGUGGGCCAUUUUUGGUAAGCAGAACUGGCGCUGUGGGUUGAACCAAUUGUUGAGUUAAAGUGCCUAAAGCUGGAAUGCGCAUGAGAUCUAUAAAGGGUGUUAGUUGCUGAA
rnacentral:rRNA from 1 species